CCUACGGGUGGCAGCAGUGGGGACUAUUGGACAAUGGGGAGAACCCUGAUCCAGCGACGCCGCGUGAGUGAAGAAGUAUUUCGGUAUGUACAGCUCUAUCAGCAGGGAAGAACGAAAUGACGGUACCUGACUAAGCAGCCCCGACUAACUACGUGCCAGCAGCCGCGUUAAUACGUAGGGGGCAAGCGUUAUCCGGAUGUACUGGGUGUACAGGGCGCGUAGACGGCGCUGCAAGUCUGAAGUGAAAGGCGGUGGCCCAACCCCCGGACUGCUUUGGCAACUGGAAGGCUGGAGUGCAGUGGAGGGAAGUGGAAUGCCAAGUGUAGAGGUGAAAUGCGUAGAUAUUAGGAGGAACACCAGUGGCGAAGGCGGCUUACUGGACUGUAACUGACGUUGAGGCUCGAAAGCGUGGGGAGCAAACAGGAUUAGAGACCCUUGUAGUC
rnacentral:rRNA from 1 species